GGUAGCCCAGCCAGUCGUGCCCACGGGGGCUCAGCUGUGUGCCCAGGUACCCCCCAGGUGUGCCCAGGUGUGCCCAGGUGUGUGUACAGGUGUGUACAGG